GCGGACUUCGGUCCUUGCUGCACCCUUGUCUUUUGCGCACCGUUUGUUUCCUCGGCGGGCUUGCCUGCCGGCUGGACAAUAUCAAACCAUUUGUAGUUGCAGUCAGCGUCAGAAAAUAACAAUCGUUACAACUUUCAACAACGGAUCUCUUGGUUCUGGCAUCGAUGAAGAACGCAGCGAAAUGCGAAAAGUAGUGUGAAUUGCAGAAUUCAGUGAAUCAUCGAAUCUUUGAACGCACAUUGCGCCCCUUGGUAUUCCAUGGGGCAUGCCUGUUCGAGCGUCAUUUUGUACCCUCAAGCACUGCUUGGUGUUGGGCGCUUGUCCCGCAGCGGACUCGCCUGAAAGCGAUUGGCAGCCAACGCACUGGUGGUAGAGCGCAGCACAAUCUUGCGACUCUCCCUUGCGCGUCGGCGUCCAUGAAGCCCUUUUUUCAACGUUUGACCUCGGAUCAGGUAGGGAUACCCGCUGAACUUAAGCAUAUCAAUAAGCCGGGA
rnacentral:rRNA from 1 species